rnacentral:lncRNA from 1 species
AUAUUUAUAUGCAUUCUUAAGACGAAUUCGUUCCGGUCAAAUAUGAUUAUAAAAAAUAGUAUCCAUCCGAAUCCUAAUUGAUUCAUAUUUUUAGCUAAGUUUAUUUCUAAAUUAAAUAAACGAAGCGGAUAGCGUGUUACCUAUCUCUCUCAAAAAAAAAAAAAAAAAAAAAGUAUCCAUCCAAUAUCCGUAUCUAGAGUCUUAUCCGCAUUAUUAAAUAUAAAUGCAAAUAUCAUUUCGUCUAAUAUAUAUUCGAUCAUAUUCAACGUUUUCAUCCCUGCAGCACCCUAAUAAAGCUAUUCACGUUACUAUAGACUGUCACGCCCCGGAUUACUUAUUUCCCCGGGCACGCCGACAAAUCCGCCGUAUACAUAGAAAUUUCUCUGUAUACGAAGCGAUAGGUGUACCUGUACCUGUAAUCAUACAAAACUACAACUAGUAGUAGAGAGCUGCUAAAUUGAAAAAUAUAUAUAAAUAACAUCAGGUUCUCUAUACAUAUAUAGUCUCCAGAUACAUAACACUCGCUUCAGCGAGGAUCUAACAUCAGUAUGUACAAGAACAAAAAAUCAACACUACUUGUAGCGGGUAUAUCUCUAGAUCAGCAGCAAAACGGAAAGGGAUCUAACUCGCGACUCCCUUUUCACGAUCAGUAUCCGCAACAGCAGCAGCUGAAGAAGAAGGCUCUGCAAAAAGGGUUCAACAAUCGGGUGUGAGAACUACUGCAAAAAGAAAUAGUCCUCAGUGGGUACCGCUACCGACCUCAACGGCUCACCCACUAAGUCUACAGAAGUGUGCUCAAGGAUAGUAAAAAAAGCUGAAAAACUCUACAGUUAUAUGCCACUAUACUAUCUCAAUCCAACACUAACUAUCUGUAGAAAAAUACAAUGUCUGACCCAAUCUCACUAGGGACGGUGAACACAUCCGUCCCGCCUGUCAAAACUACACUAAUUACCUCCACACUGGACCGUCAGUGGAGAGCGAGUCCAACCAGGACACAACGACAACAACGCAAAAGCACAAAGCUCGACUCCAGAGUGGCACUCGUAGGCGCUACCCAAUCGAGUAUGCAAGCGUAUCUCUGCCGAGCUCAAUCAGGCUCUCACAGGCUGUAAUCAAAACAGAAGGGUCUAACUGGUCUAACAACCAUAAUAAACAUGUUCUCGGUACAAUCUGAUGCAAAAACAGCAAUCUGGGUCCACCGUCAACCGCAACGGCACCCGACAGUCCGGAACAGUCUAUACACUACUGUAAAAAUACACUCAGCAUCCCAGCAUGAGUGUAAAUUUAUUCUAUACUAUUCUGGAUAUCCACCGCAUACAAACUGCGGCGAUACAAACAAACUACAGCUCUUAAAGCUAAAUCUGUUACUUUUCAGAAAAUGACAGUGUAGAAUCUAAAUAUUUUCUCCUAAAUCAAGUACAAGUCCAACAUAUAUAAUUUAUUUAAACCAAUAACUAAGCUCCAAAUUCAGGUUUCAAAGAACAUGUAAAUCCACGAAUUUGAGCUAUAGGACAUGAUAUACAAAACCUAAUAAGAUAUGCUGUCAACUGCGGCUUAGGAGGAAAUCCGAAAAUUCCGGUAACAUCAACCCACCUCGAAAAGCUAAUCCAACGACAGCGAGAAGUCGGAAUGAGAGGAAAACACGCGCUCGCCCGGCCUCCAACGGCGCUACCACGAUGCAUGCACGAUCAAACGGCCCUCCGAACGAUGGCGAAAAUCUCCCGAGCUCGAGUCGCGCUCUAUACCAUGCACACGAUCAAAUUAGAGAGAAAAUGAGAAGCUCUCAGCUAAUUAAGUUGAUAAGGAUAUGGAAGCUUAGGUGGCAAUCUUAUCCAACAUAAUGACUAUAAUACUCCUCGCCAACUCAAUAAAGACUACCAUAUCCUCUAUCAACUCAAAUGGCUUAUCAACCCGCAAGCUCGCACACAGGGUACCGGUACUAGCCCGAUGCCGUACCGGCACUCAGCAUCAAAUUGGCGCAACCCGAGAGCAGUCUGUUUGGAAUUACACUAGGGUACUAGUACUCAACACUGAAAACCUGCACUUUGCAGAUUCCAAUGUUAAAACUCUGAUCUCGCAUCGCACUGAGUCUGUUUUGCGUCUAUUUCGCGCCAAAACGACUCUGACUUGUCCCGACACUCUCCAGAUGUGUCGACAAGCCUUAGAUGCUGAAAUCUCGCAGGCAACCCAAAAACUAAUGAUACUACAUAAACUCUUCUAGGUGUAUAUAUAUAUCUCAUUAGAAAUGAGGCGGUGCUAGAGUAUGUGUCUAUUCUACCUACCUUUUUAGAGAUCUCGAAGAGCAACUUCAUUCUCAUGCUAUGAUAUUAGGCUACCUAUCACAUUACGAGGUCUUUUUUAAGAUGAUAUUGAUGACAUACCAAUCGUUGGAAUUGGCUGUGGUCAUGGAUGCAGAUUGAUGUAGGCGUAGUUGUGUGUGUGUGUGUAUGUAUAUAUAUAUAUAUAUAUAUAUAGGAGCAAUUGCUUAUUUUGACUUUUUAAUUUAUCCCUCAUAGAAGGCGAAUAUUGAAAAUAUCUUUUUUACGUUCCGACCUAUUUCUAAUAUAUCCUUAGAGUUAAAAUCUAUUAAUAAACUCUAUUAUCUCUGUGAAAUUACUAUUUUGCCCGUUCAACUAUAUCCUUCUACCAUCACCGAUUUUUUUUAUUUGCCCUUAAGUUAGGGGCACAAAAAGUAUUUUGCUUUUUUAUCUUUUCAAAUAUACUCUUCUACCAUUAUCAAUAUUUCUUGUUUGUCCUUAAGUUAAGGGCAAAAAUGGUAUUUUAAUUUUUUUUAACUAUGGUAGAUAUUUAACUUACGUUUAACCCAAAUUAACUUAACGGGUCGUAAUUGAAUGGGUAUUUUGGAAGUACGGAGAAAUAUAUGAGGGAUAAAUUGGAAAGAAAAAAAAAGUAGGAGUAAAUGAGAUAUUUUCGAAAUUUUGAGGGGCAUGUAGAUAUUUUCUAUAUAUAUAUAUAUAUAUAUAUAUAGAAAGAGAGAGAGAGAGAGAGAGAGAGGAGAGAGAGAGAGAGAGAGAGAAUCCGGCUACUAUGUUAUCAAUAGCACAGAGUGCUUAGUGCUAUUAAGUUUUUCGCCGUUAGAUCUACCCCUUUAAUCAUUUUCACCCAUUAUAUUAUACUAUUCAAUCAGCCAUCCACUCAACCCUAAGAGACCACUACCAUCCUAGCUGCACAUCCUUUCAUCCAAAAGCCGAAAACCUAAUAGCACUAAGACUUGGUGCUCUAAACAGUAUUCUAACAUAUAUAUAUAUAUAUAUAUAUAUAUAUAUAGAGAGAUAGAGAGAGAGAGAGAGAGAGAGAGAGAGAGNNNNNNNNNNNNNNNNNNNNNNNNNNNNNNNNNNNNNNNNNNNNNNNNNNNNNNNNNNNNNNNNNNNNNNNNNNNNNNNNNNNNNNNNNNNNNNNNNNNNNNNNNNNNNNNNNNNNNNNNNNNNNNNNNNNNNNNNNNNNNNNNNNNNNNNNNNNNNNNNNNNNNNNNNNNNNNNNNNNNNNNNNNNNNNNNNNNNNNNNNNNNNNNNNNNNNNNNNNNNNNNNNNNNNNNNNNNNNNNNNNNNNNNNNNNNNNNNNNNNNNNNNNNNNNNNNNNNNNNNNNNNNNNNNNNNNNNNNNNNNNNNNNNNNNNNNNNNNNNNNNNNNNNNNNNNNNNNNNNNNNNNNNNNNNNNNNNNNNNNNNNNNNNNNNNNNNNNNNNNNNNNNNNNNNNNNNNNNNNNNNNNNNNNNNNNNNNNNNNNNNNNNNNNNNNNNNNNNNNNNNNNNNNNNNNNNNNNNNNNNNNNNNNNNNNNNNNNNNNNNNNNNNNNNNNNNNNNNNNNNNNNNNNNNNNNNNNNNNNNNNNNNNNNNGAGGGCUGCAGAGAACGGGUCGCGCUCGCGCGGGGAGGGUCGCGCGGUUGGGGGGUGGUGGUAGGGGGCGGGCUGCAGAGAUGGGGUCUGGCGUGGUUGGGGGGGGAGGGCGGGGGGAAGGGAGGAGGUGCUUUCCGGCGUCUCCAGCAGUGCUCAAAGAUACAGAGGAGCUCCACGAUUCCACAGGAGAGAGAAAGGGAGAGAGAUUGGGGGAGAAGAGAAGAGGUGAAGCAUUCACUGUAGAGGGAGGGAGAUAGCCUGGGAAGAAGAAGAGAGAAAAGGAAGAAAGAGAAAGAGAAAAGGCAAAAAGAAAAGACAAAAAAAGAGGAGAGAGAAGAAGUCCAUUAAAUCUAACCCAUCUAACUAUGGGUUCUCCUUUUAAAAGGCCACUCAAUCUCAGCCAUCCAUCUAUUUAGAUGGAUGGUGGAUGCUUUAAUAGCACAGGGGCUGCUGUGCUCUUAAGAGCACAGGGGCUGCUGUGCCUACUCUCUCUCUCUCUCUCUCUCUCUCUAUAUAUAUAUAUAUAUAUAUAUAUAUAUAUAUAGAAUUGAGAUAGAAUACUCUCAAAAGCACGAACCCCUUGGUGCCUUUGAGUUUCUAGCCCUUGGAUCCACUCCUUGAUUACUAAUAACCUUUGGAUCAAACAUUAUUCCACCUACCACCACCUACCACCAUCAUCUCAACCCUACAUCUCUCCAUCCAAAUGAACCAAAAACUGCAAAAGCACCAAACCCCUGUUGCUUUUGAAUCCCCUUGGGCUUUGAUAGUAGUCACUCAACUAACUAUAUAUAUAUAUAUAUAUUAUAGAAUUGAGCUCCUAUGGCUAAAAGUAUCAAGCUCAUUAUGUUUGUAAGUUUUCGGCUAUUGAUUAAGGAUGUGCGGUUUAGAAUAGGCCCCUAAGUGUAGUGGUGGGUUGGUUGAAUAGUAACGAUCUGACAUUGGUUUUGGGUAAAAUAUCAAAGCGUAGAUCUAACGGGUAAAAAUAUUUACAAGCACCAAGAAUACUAGGUGCUUUACAAGACAAAGCGGACUCUCUCUCUCUUCUCUGGGCCGAUCUCCCUGCUCUCACUCUCUCGCCUCUCUCUCUCUCUCUAUAUAUAUAUAGAUAUAACAAUUAUAUAUAUAUAACAUAUAUAUAUCAUAUAUACAUAGUAACAUAUAUAACAAUAUAUAAUUACAUAUCAUACAAUAUAUAAAUAUAUACAUUAUAUGACAUAUAUACAUAUAUACACGAUAUAUUAUACAUAUAGAUAGAUAUACAUAUAUAGCAUACUACAUAUUAUACAUAAUAUAUACAUAUAAGUAAUACAUAUAUACAUAUAUAUACAUAUAUAUACAUAUAGACAUUAUAAAACAUAUACAUACAUAACAUACCAUAUACAUAACAUACAUAUACAUAUCAUAUACAUAUACAUACAUAUAAUACAAUACAUAUACAUAAAUAAAAUUAUCAUAUACAAAUACAUACAUAUAUCAUACACAUAACAUCAUACAUACAUAAGGAUACAUAUAUCAUAUACAUCAUAUACCCAUACAUAUACAUACAUAUACAUAUACAAUAUCAUUAUACAUUACAUAUACAUAACAUAUCAUAUACACAUAUCAUAUACAGACAUAACAUACAUAUACAUAUUACAAUAACGAUCAUACAUAUAACAUUACAUAUACUAAUUAGUUACAUAAUAUAUAUAAUACAGUAUAUAUUAAUAUACAAUAUAAUAAUAUAUCAUACAAGACAUAUAACUUACAUAUACAUAUAUAAUACAUAUAUAUAAUAAUAUAACAAUACAUAUAUAAUAUAUACAAUAUAUAUACAUAUACAUAUACAUAUAUAUAUAUAUAUACAUUACAUAUAUAUACAUAUAUAUAUAUAUAUACAUAUACAUAUAUAUAUAUAUAUAUAGCAUGAUACAAAUAUUAUCAAUAUUUAGUAAUAUUUAUAAUUAUAUACAAUACCAUAAUAUACAUAAUAUAUAUAUCAUAUCAUUAGAUACAAUAUAUAUAUACAUAUACAUAUAUAUAAUAAUAUAUAUAUAUAUUAUAUACAUAUAUACAUAAUAUUUUUAGAAUAUAUAUAUAUAAUAUAUAUAAUAGUAUAGCAUAUAGUAUACAUAAAAAAAAAAAUAUAUACAUAUAUAUACAUAUAUAUUAACAUAUAUAUUAGCAUAUAUAUACCAUAUAUAACAUUAUAUACAUAUAAUAUAUCUUAUAUAAAUUAGUAUAUAUAUACAAGAUUUUUGCUAGAUGAUUUACUAUCGUAUAAACGGUAUCAUUUUAUCUAACCGAUUUGUUUUCGAUAACAGCUUCCAAAUGACUAUCGUCCUCCGUUGACAUAUCUAUAUCACUUGAAGUGUUUAGAAAUCAAAUUUCAAAAUCUUUCAAUAUUAUUUGCCUAAUUCAAAGGUUCAAAAUUUUUAAUCUUUAAUGCGAUAAUGCAGCUUUCGUCGUUAACGGCGUAAAGAUAAUCCAAAUCAAUGAAAUUUCUUGUUAGAAAACUUUAAACAAUUUAUAAUAAGAUCUAUACUCUUUCUGAUCUUGAUUACAAGACCCUAUCAUCAUUUUUUAAAGAGUAUUAUUUCAGCCAUAUCAAUUUACUGUUCACUUGAUGAUAAAAGAACAAUACGAAAAGUGCGUGAAAAUUUGAUUUUUAGGGUAGUUUUAAAUGGUUAGAUCCAUAUUUAAUGAGCCGCAUUCGUCAAUUUGGAAGCUCUAUCACAAAAAUAAAUCGUAGUAACCGGCCCGCUACUACCGAUAGAAUCUAGUUCAACUCUAAUAUAUAUAAAUAUAGAGUAGAGAGAAAAGAAGAGAGAGUUGUGGCGGUGAGCUCUAUGGAAGCACGGAGGCCCCGUUGCUUUCCAAGUUGUUUUUCGAUGUUCGCAGCUUCGACAUCGACGAUCGCUCGCUUAGAGUUGAUCUAAGUAUUUGAAGUACCUAAGAAAAAUAAGAUUAUUGCGAUUUUUCGAGUAAAUUUGCCUUGUAACGAGCUCAAAAAUCAAUAAUUUAAACCACGUGUGAGUCCGGUUGCAAGUUAUCGGUUAGAAAGAUAAUCCAAAUCUACAUGAAAUUUUGAUAGAAAAAAUUCUUAUAUCCAUAAAAUAAACAAAGAUUAAUAACUUAUCUAUAAAAUUUAAAUGUCAAUAUUCAUUCAUAUUUGUAAGAUUUUUAUUUUCAGCCGGAUUUUGAGGGCCACUUCGAUUUCACAUUAUGCAAUGAUAUCGGAAAGAUCACAAAGUUUAUUUCUAAGUACGAUCAAAACUCUAGAUCAGUCUAACGAGGCCGAGCGUCGAAUUCGAAAGUCCAAACAUCGAAAACAAAGUGGAAGAGCACGAGCCCUCCGUGCUUCCAAUAACAUCCUAGCCGCAACUCUAAUAUAUAUAAUAUACGCUGUAAGCUACUAUGGCUCACGAAAAGCAUAAAGUAGUUGAACUGCUUCCGAUUUUAGCCCUUAGAUCAAAGAUCAAUGGUUGGGAUAAUAGCGGUCCCGCCUAGGUUGAGUGUCCUCAUUGGGUUUAAUAAUAUUAAUCCAAUGGUUAUAAAUGAUAAUGGGUUGAUCUAAUGGCUAAAAAAAAAUCGAAGAAACCACUACUUAUGCUUUCUGAUAGCUAUAGGAGCUCUACAUAAUAUAUCAUAUCAUAAUAUAUCCAUUAACAUUAAUAGUAAUCCUCAAUACUUUGCCACGUGGCAGCCUCCUCCCUCACACCUUUUACUCUCAUUCUUGUUCCGCCACUAUUAUAAUGCACCUCCAAUAAAGUAAAUAAUUUUUUUAAUUUUUUAAUUAAAAUAAGCAAUCCUUCAUUACCUAUUGGGGCAUUUAUUACCCGUCUUCUAUUUUUUAUCCUUACGUUACAGCCCUCCACGACCAUAAUAAAAUUAAAUUAACCUGAUUUUUUAUAAAAUUAAUCAAUCCUCCACUACAUAUUUAAGACAUUCAUUUCUCUUCAUUUUUACCCAUUACCUGUUACAGUCCUCCACUAAAUCCUAUUGAGACCUUUAUUUCUGUCAUUUGUUAUGCCGAUAUAAUUAAAUUAAAUGACAACUUCUUCAUACUUUGGUGAGCUUUACUGUCUACAAUUAUUAGCAAUUUUGGUUUUUUUUUAAAGACUAUCUAAAAUUGAAGUUUAUUGAUCGUCGUCUCCACGAAGUGUGGGCACUAAUCCGACAGUUCGAUCUUUAGAGGCCAAGUCACGGCUCGCGCGGCGUCGACGAGAGUCUCACCCCCUUCAAGCUCGACUAUGAAUUUGAUCAAAUUUCUAUAUUGUCUCUAAUUUAGUUUUCUCGAUUAUGAUUUUUCAGAAGUUCUUUUUUUUGGUAAUUUGUUUGAAACUUUUGUUGGAAUAAAGAAAAUAGGAUUUUAUUAAAAGGUUUUUUUUUUUAUCUGAAGAACAUGAAAUGUAAGCUAUAUUUUUAUUAUAUCUCAUAAGAUAUUAGUAUAUACAUCUUCCUUGCUUUCUUGUAAUCUAAUAAUUACGAACUCAUGUAAAUUUCAGAUUGCAUGUCAGUUUCUAUCGGUAAUAAUGGUAAACUAUCUGAUUUUAUACUCAAAGUUGAGUAUUCAAAACUCAAAGUAACUCACAAUUAGUUUUGAGGCCUUGUGCUGUAAUUUUAUCAAGAAAUAUUUGUACUUUAUUUUCUGGGUUGCAGGCUAUUUGAGUUAAUUGAAAGUUACAUUUGUCGUAUUCAAAAUCUAUUUUGAAAGUCAUUGCGUUUUUAUUUAUUUAUUGUUUCCCUGUUUCCGUUCUCUACUGUCUUAAGCUAGAAUAAAUAGACAUGAAGAUCAAUUACAAAAUGCUAUUGAUUAUCUAUAGGCUGUGUCAUUGGCUUAUGAGAUACUUCUUUUCUGAGAGGAAAUUGGGGAAGCUAGUCGUGAUGGUUGACCUCUGGAAUAUUCUUCGCAGAUUAUCAUUUCUCUUUGAUGGUCACUUCUCAUGUUAUUUCUAUUCUUUUAUAUGCACAAAAUAUUGCUCGUUUUUUUCUCAAUUUCCAUUCGAUUAGUAGUCAUCCUUCUAUUCAUUAUGUUUAAGGAAUGAAUUGGUAACUGGAAGUACACAAACAAAAAUUGAAUUUGAAAUGCUAUUCUUCUCGUUUUUUUUCUUUUUUUUUUAAUGUUUGAUUUUGAUAUGGCGAACAGCGUACUCCGAAAUCGAUUCAAAUUAACCUGUCAGAAUUGACAUAUGGAACGUUCAUGGACAUGUUCCGAGUCGAUCGUUCGUAAACUGCUAAGAAAGUUCUUUGAUAUUUCCUCCUCAGCAAUGUGCAAUUCAAUAUUAUCGAAGCGAGAGUGUUUUUUUCAAAUUUUGGCAGUGGCCUCUCCUAUUGUCUUUGCUUUUAUCCUGUCUACUUCAAGUUUUGUAUUGGCUGAAGCUACUGGCAGAUAACUAUAUCUUUUUUGAUAUUUACUCUUCUAAAAAUUAACUACAAUGCUCUUCAUUGUGAACUAAAUAUUUAAUACUGGCAUACUAUAAUUUAUUUACUAUUUUCAUAUUUUUAUUAAUUUAUAAUUUUACUGUUAUCAUAAUUACCGCCGCGCGUCGCGCGGUCCGUACACCUAGUAUAUAUAUAUAUAAUAAUUAUAUAUAUAGAUAUAUAAUAUUAUAUGAUUAUAAUAUAGAUAUAAACUAUAAUAUGUAAGGCUACUACUGCUUCUGGAAUGCACGGACUCCGUGCUCCAGGUCGUUCGAUAUGGCGUACUUCGAAUCGUCGAUCGGGCUGCCCGGUCCGUUAAAUUGAUCGAAGAGUAUUUGAAGUAUCAGAAAAAAUUUUAAUUUUGCGACUAUCAUUGCCUAAUGAUGCGAUAGGGGCUCAAAUCAACUAAUUUUUAAUGCCUUAGUAACGUUGCGAAGUUAAAAUAACUGGUAUAGAAAAUUUCAAAUCACUACAAAUCUUUAAUUGAGAAAUUCUUAUACUAUAUAAACAUGAUGCAAUAAUCUUUGAUCUAUCAAAUUUAAUGUCAUUUAUCAACUGUUUUUAGAUUUUUAUUUCAGGCUUAACUUGACUCCCUUCUUCAGCGUAGUCAAAUAAUAUCGGAAAAUGGAUAAUUAUUUCUAUCUUCAAGUUAUAUCCUAGAUCAAGUUUAACGAGCCGAUCUGAUAUCAAAUCCGCACAGAAAACGGCCUGGAAGCACGAAAGGCUCCGUAGUUCCAGAAGCAUAGUAGCCUCACUCUCUCUCUCUCUCUCUCUCUCUCUCUCUCUCUCUCUAUAUAUAUAUAUAUAUAUAUAUAUAUAUAUAUAUAUAUUCGAGCUUUUCGAGCCGAAUAUCGAGCAUAUAUAUAUAUAUAUAUAUUCGAGCUUUUCGAGCCGAAUAUCGAGCCGAACGCGAGUCGAACACGAGUCGGCUCACUCAUUUGCCAGCCCUAAUAUGCACCCGAAAUUCGAUGUAAUUUAUGUUCAUUUUGACAUAGACUGCCUUGAUAUUUCCUUUCAUGGUAUUUUAUUUGGAUAUGGUAUAUUAGUUGAUGGUUUCUUUAAAUUAGAUUUGGAGGAUAGUUUGUUUGCAUUUGCUUUUUCUUCUUCUUCUAAUCUCUGUGAUGAAACCGUUUAAAUGGCAUGCCCGAUUAGCCCAUAUAAGUUAAGAAAGAAUGAAUAGAUUGGCUCGAGAAAGCCUUUUGGGAUCUCUCGCCAAAGUUGACCUAUUUGUGUGCGAGCCUUAUCUGGCUGGGAAGGCAUGUAGAAAGCCUUUUGGUAAGACUACUCGUGCCUCUCAUCCUUUGGAACUAAUCUAGUCAGACAUUUAUGGGCCAAUGAAUGUGAGGGCCUGAUAUGAUGCAUGCUAUUUUCUCAUAUUCAUUGAUGAUUAUUCCCGUUAUGGAUAUGUACAUUUGCUUUCUCGCCGAUCUGAAGCUAGAUUGCUUCAAGCGCUUCGUUGCGGAAGCUGAGAAUCAAAUAAAAAGAAGUGUAAAGGCGCUUCACACUGACCGAGAUCGUGAGCUUGUUUGAUCAGUUCAAGACUUAUUGUGAACGAAAGGGCAUUAGUAGACAGCUCACUAUUCCUGGUACUCCGCAACAAAAUGGUGUCGUAGAGCAAAGAAACCAUACUAUAUUAGACAUGGUUAGGUCGAUGAUGGCGCAAGCGCAUCUUCCCAUAAAUUUUUGGGGAGAUGCACUUUUGACUGUAGUCUACACCCUUAAUCGAGUCCCUAGCAAAUCAGUGCCUUCUAUACCCCAUAUGAGUUGUGGUGUGGUAGAAAGCCGAAUUUACACUACUUACGCCUUUGGGGUUCGGAUGGAUAUGUUCACAACUCCUCACAUAAAUUUGAAAAACUUGGCCCUAGAGCAAGCAAGCAUGUGUUCAUCAGGUACCUAGAAAAUUCGAAGGGUUGUGUGAUAUAUGGUGAACACCCAGAUGGUGGUAUGACCGAGAUUGAGUCUCGUGAUGUGGAAUUUCUAGAAGAGGAAUUUUCAAACAUUGGUGAAAUGCGAAGAGACGUCGAAUUAUAUGAGUUACAGGACGACGCUACCCCAUCUGCUAUUGAGGGUGAUCGAUCACUUCCCAAAGUCGCUAAAGAAAAUGGUAGCGAUCCUCCGGCUAGUAGGAGUGCUUCCUUGAAUAAGAGCAUACCAUUGGAAGUCGGCAGUUCAGACUCUCCAUUGCAUAGAAGUGAAUGUGGAUAUAUUCCCCGUCGACAUUUUGAGAUCGAAGGGAAUAUUUUGUGCACUCCGCUCACUAAUGAUGAACCUGUUUCUUAUAAAGAAGCACUACAGACGUCAGCUUGCAGUGAGUGGAUGGCUGCUAUGAAAGAUGAGAUGGACUCCAUGAGCAAGAACCAAGUAUGCGAGUUGGUUGACCUUCCGCCCGGGCGCAAAUCUAUUGGAAAUAAAUGGGUCUUAAAAAUUAAGCGCAAGGCGGAUGGAUCAAUCAAUAAAUACAAGGCUCGGCUCGUGGCUGAGGGCUACAUUCAGAGGCAAGGGGUAGAUUACAACGAGACGUUUGCUCUUGUUAUGCUAUUUGUUUCUAUACAUUUGAUUCUAGCCUAAGUGGCACACCUAGAUUUGGAAUUGUUCCAAAUGGAUGUCAAGACAACCUUUCUCAAUGGAGGAUUAGUGAAGGAGAUCUACAUGGACCAACCUGAGGGUUUUGUACUCUUAGGUCAAGAAGAUAAGGUUUGUCGUCUUAAAAGAUCCAUUUAUGGUCUCACACAAUCGUUGAGACAGUGGUAUUUCAGGUUUCAUGAAGCCAUCACGUCUAUCGGUAUGUCCAUAAUAGAGGAGGACCACUGUGUAUAUGUUAAGAAGACAGAGAAAGAAAUUUUGUUCCUCUCCCUAUACGUCGACGACAUACUAUUGGCUGAAAAUGACAUGGAGUUAAUCAAUACCGUUAAGCAGUGGUUGUCUCUCAACUUUGAAAUGAAAGACAUGGGUGAGGCGAGCUACGUGCUCGGAGUGAAGGUCAUCCGUGAUCGCUCUACAAGGUUUCUUAAUUUGUCUUAAAAAUCUUAUAUUAAAAAAGUUCUAGAGCAUUUUAGGAUGCAUUAUUGUAAACCCGUUGACACUUCAGUGGAGAAGAAUCACACUCUGAGUCUUGAUUAGUGCCCUAAAACGAAUAAAGAAAAGGAGCAAAUGAGUAGGGUUUCUAAUGCGAGUGCAAUUGGCAGCUUGAUGUACGCUAUGAUGUGUACUCGACCUGACAUUUUGCAUCGCUAUUGGUUUGGUAAGUCAUUACCAGAGCAACUCAGGACCCAUUCAUUGGUAAGUGGUCAAGAGAACUUUUCGAUAUUUAAAAGAAACUAGUGAUCUCGUCCUCUGCUUCCAAGCUGGGGACCUGAGAUUGAAAGGAUAUAGCUAUGCUGAUUGGGGCGGUGAUAGAGAUGAGCGCAGGUCCACCUCAGGCUAUGUGUUUAUGCUUGGAGGUGGGGCAAUUUUCUGGUGCAGUAAGAAGCAGGGCUACAUUGCCUUGUCAACCAUGGAAGCGGAGUACGUUGCUUGUUCAGCGGCCGUUAAGGAGGCUGUUUGGCUGAUGAGAUUUCUCCAGCACCUCGACAUCGUGACUCGAGCUGAUGAACCUGUCGAGAUGUUUUCUGACAGCAUGACUGUCUUGGAGUAUGUGAAAGAUCCCAAGUAUCAUGGCAGGACAAAGCAUAUAGUAUCGGUUUUCACUACAUUCGAGACAUGAUUAGGCUAGGUGAGGUCGUUCUUAGACAUAUCUCCACUACUAGGAUGGUGGCUGAUCCGUUGACUAAACCGAUAGCUAGGGAUAUGUUCCAGACCCACGUUAGGUGUUUUGGUCUUCGCAGUUUUUGAUGUAUUGACAUUAUCUUACACUUUAUUAAUGAAAUAUGUUUUUCUCCUUUUAAUGUGACUGCGUAAUUGAUACUAGUAGGUACAUGUUCGAUAAGUCACCAGGCUCAGAUCAACCCACUCACAUAGAUGAUCGCCCUGGCACCUAGGUGGUGAGCAGGAUGAGACUAGAUAAUCAUAUUAAACUUGAGUAGUUGUAAUAUGAUUACUUUGUUCAUAUAUGUUAUGAAUGAAGUAUUGAUAUAAUUUAAAAGUCACCUUAAUUAGUUUAAAAUGAGACUCUAAAGAGAUGGAUAUGAAAGUUUUUCUGUGAAAUUUCAUAUCGAGCCUGUAUAGUAGCCGAACCAGUGAUCAGAUUAGAGAGAUGACUUGAGUUGUGAUUGUUAGAUACAUUAGUGGUUCCUAGACCAAGGUUCGUAUGGCGUUUUUUCCAGAGCGUGACACAACCUAUUAAGUGGGAGCUUCGCCAUAGUAUACAUAUCAUACUGUAUGUGCUUGUCGACCAGUUAAUAAAGUGACAUAAGUUCUUCCCUCCAUAUCACUAUGUGAGCACUAACCUUUUUGUGCCCUCAACUUAGAACUACGUUAUGAAGUGGAGGUCCAAAGUAAUUAACUUAGCGUGUAUCUCAGGUCAUGAGAAAAUAUGAUCUUGCGGUAAAGUGCUUGGACCAAUACAGAUUAACGUGCAUGAGGGGUUGAGGAAGAUGUUUCGAUAACACAUCGCGUAAGUCAAGCCUCAUUGCCCGGGCGAUUAUCUCAGUUGUAUUACUUGAGAUAAUCAUGAGUACGAGAAAUAACUAUAGGGUCAAGCCCUGUCAUUACAGGAGAGAGACUUUGUGAUGCUUUUUCUAUAAAUAUGCGCUUUUUCUAUAAAUAUGCGCUUUUUAUAUAAAUAUACGCUUUUUCAGGAUAUUUAGGAGGUUCCGUUAUUCUAUAAAUAUGCGUUUUUUCUCUCCCGUGUCAUACGAUCUAAUUUGAUCUAAGAGAAUCCAUGAUAAAUCUUCCUUCUUCUUUCUCUUCUUCUUCUCUGGGAUUCCCACCUACAUUCUCAGGGUUUUGAAGUAUGGACAUAGAAGAGAACUCGUGUAAAAAAGUGAAUUCUCGAAAGCCGAGAGUUGGACUUCGUCCAGGAUUGACUAAUUAUCGAGUGGGUAGGCUUCGGAGGAGCUAAAGAUGUUCAAAACACAAAAAGUGCUUUGGAGUCGAGUCCGCGAGAGUAAAUGAUGCAAAAUCUGCACUUGGCAGAUUCUGCUCUCGGGGACCGGUCCCUGGCGGCGAGGACUGGUUCCCGUAAGCAGGAAUUAUGGCAGAGGGGAGGUCUGCGCAAAACUGCUCUUGGGGACCGAUCCCUGGUGGGAGGGACCGGUUCCCGUAGCUGAGAGUUGCAGCAGGCGCCCGAUGCAACCGGUCUCUUGGGCAAGGACCGGUCCUCCACGGUCCGGUCUCUCGAGCAAGGACCGGUUCCCGUACGCGUGUUGCGGGGAAUUGCUCUCGGGGACCGGUCCUCCCGUUGAGAGACCGGUCCCUCUGCGCGAAAAUUGCCGAGGCAGGGCAGGUUGAGAGAAGUAAAGUGGAGGGGCUUUUAUGCAAAAUGUCAUGAGUUGAGUGGUAUAAAGAGGCUGAGCCUUCUCCUCUCUCUCAUUCUCACCCUCACUCUCACAUUCUCUCUCUCUCACUAAACUCUUUCUCUCUCUCCCUCUCUUGAGCAAGGUAGAAGGAGAAGAAGAAGAGGAAGAAGAAGAAGGAAAGAAAGGUGGAGGAGAAAAAGGAGAUCUAGGAGAAGGCCUUGGACACCUUCACCUCCCUCUUCUCUCCCCUUUGGUGUAGCUUAAGAGGUAAGCUCUUGAACCCUAACAAUGGUAGAACCUAGGGUUUUGGAUUUCUAGCUUUAGAAAUGGGUCAAAUGAAAUCCUAGCAUGAUUAGUUGAUGCUUUAAGCUAGAAUUUAGGGAUUUAUUGAUGGUUUGCUAUAGGUGCAAACCUAGGGUUCCAAAGUGGGGUCUUUGAUAAAUGAUGAGAUUGAUCUCAUUUGAUAGCUUGUGAACCUAAUUGAUAGGUGUCUAAACGCGGGGGCGAAGUUGGAUUUUCGAUUCGUCGAGCGGGUGAAAAGCUAUCAGCGAAAUAUAGCCGAUUGAGCAUCGUUUUGGACCAAGGAGGCCGAGACAUCGUCGUAACGUUCGUUGGGAAGUGUUUCUAGAACCUUCGUACCCUCAAAAGGUGGGGGGUGUCAUUCCGAAGCAACCGAGCUCUUUUCUAUGUCUUAGAAAUAUAUGAUUUUCAUCUCUUGCAUGUUGCAUUGUAGGAUUGCAUUGUAGUACCUUUUUCUUAUGCUUCUAAAUAUUAACCUAGUAUGCAUGUAAUACUUGGUGAAAUGGAUAGGUAAGGAUUGGAUCGAAACAUGGAUCCUAUAGUGCCAAAAGAAAGAGAUGAACUCGAUGGUUAUUCAGUGACAUAGAGAGUGGAAUUAAUGUAGUGUAUUUGACACUAGAGGUUCAUGAACUUAGGGAUAGGUGGAUUCCCUAGUAAACGACUCGUGAACAAUAAACUUAGUAUAGCUAAGUAAUUAUGCAUGAAUGUCGGAAUAGAUGAGUUCUGAGAGAAUGUUAGCCCUAGUUCGUAGGGUAUCCUCACGUGGAGAGGAUAGAUCAAGCUCACGGUCUGUUAUUCGGGAUGGUAAAGCCAUCCGUAUCCUCACAUGGAGAGGAAUUGUCGUCGAGUACUCCGGAGUGUCGUGCGAUUAGGACAGAGUUGAUGUCCGCAGACAGUCCCGGGUUCAAGGGCAUAUGGAGUCUCCUUACCCUAUGGGAUGGAUAUGUGAGGCGUAGGCAAUCCCAAGGGUUUCACCACAGAUUGGGUAAAUGAAAGGUUAAUAUUGUCAUCGAACAUUGCUUAUCGAAUAUGGAUCGAACUUGUUAGCAUGAUAGUAAACUUUUACUAAAUGAUGCAUGCAUUCAUUUCACAUGAUUAUGGGCAUAGUAGUAUAGUUUUUCUAUUAUGUCUUUACAGCUUUGAUAUAUAUAUCUAUCUAUUUCGUUGUUACUUUUGCCCACUUGGACCUAGUGGGGAGAUCGGCAGAGUCGGCGGCUGAGCCCACUGGAAACUAUGGAAGAUAGUUCUCACCCCACUUUAUUUCCAAGGCUAGGUACAGGUUUGCCGGGCGAGGGCCGCGGCAAGGGGAUCGCGCCUGACCAGUGAGGAUUAUUGGUAGAGUAGUAGCUUUCCUUUUGCAUUAGCACACCUAUGUAUUUGAGAGAGAUUCAUGUAGGUGAGGACUUUGGAGAGCUAUGUACUUGAUGAGCAUGUAUUCAUUUUGGGAAAGAAAAUAUAAUUGUAUAAAGAAUGCAAAUGUGAUGUAAUAGUUAGUAGUUCUCUUUUUAUUUCACUUGUGUAUCUUGUGGAUUACUUGCUCUUCGUUGUUGGCACUAUUUGUGCCCCGUUGAUCGUGUAUGUAUGAAUUUAAUUUUUCUGGGUAAAUUCUUGUACAUGAUCAGCUUGUGAGCCUUGGGCGGGUAGGGGAGUUGCUGCCCGUUCGACGUUCGUUCGCCGCGCCCAAACCGUGCCAAAUUAGUAGGGGUUUCGGGGCGGGAGCGUGACAACUCGGGUGGCCCUCUUUGAUUGGCAUCUAUCCGUAUCCAACGCAACCGAUUUGUGACGCGAGGCUUAGGCGUGGGAGAAGCCGAGAUAUGUGGGAGAUCUAGAAGCAUCAAAAUCAAGACGAUCCAAGCAGGCUAAUAAAACAAGCAAUCCGAUCCGAUUCUGGUUCCUGGAUACGUUAGCUUCCCAGUUUGUAAGUUUCUGCUGCCUUCUUAUUUCCAACAAUAGACAAGAGAAUAAUAUCGAAAAGUAUGAAAUUUAAUUUUUCAAAUAGUUUAAAUGGUUUAGAUCAUGUUUAACGAUGCCGAUCAUCGAUUUGGAGGCUCCAUUAUUGAAAACAAAUCGGUGGCAACAAAACUUGUUCCUACUGAUAGCAUUCCAUCUCAAUUCUCUCUCUCUAUAUAGUUAUGCUGGAAUACUAAUAGUAUGUGAAUAGUAUUUACUAUCCACUUUUUAACUAUUGGGAUGUUUAGGGUUUAGUGGGUAGUUGGUGGAAUAAUAAUAAUCGAAGAGUGGAAAAGUGUAUAGUAAUCACUAUUUAUGUACUAUUAAUAGUAUCUUUGUUGAUCUCUCUCUCUCUCUCUCUCUCUCUCUCUCUCUCUCUCUAUAUAUAUAUAUAUAUAUAUAUAUAUAUAGCAUUAGGCUAGAAUACUAUUAAUAGUAAAACACUCUUUUUGCUAUCAAGUUUUUAACCCUUGGAUGAAAAAUUGUAGGGUCAGAAUGAUAUUAGUCGGUUAGAGUUGAGUGGUCCCCCUAGGAUUGAAUGGUCCGCACUGGGUUAUAGUAUUUAAUCCAAUGGUUAGAAAUAAUGAAAAGAGUUGAUCCAAAGGCUAAAAAACUGGUAGCAACAAUGGAAUUUUGCUACUAAUAGCAACCCAGUCCAAUUCUAUAUAUAUAUAUAUAAUUAUAAUUUCAUACUCAUAUUUCUUUUCAUUUAUCAUGAUAUCAACAAUUUGAAAUUUCUAAAAAUUUUUUAAAAAAAACUGAAGAUAGUGAAUCAUUCCCAUCUUUAAAAUGCAGUAAACUAUGCAACGAAAGAAGAAACAACAAAUAGAAAUUGAAGGCAAAAUUGACGUUUUGAAAAUGACAAAUGGGCGCUUAUAAACGACAAUGACUCUAUCUCUUGGCGAUGGCAUGUGGAUGGACGGUUUUAGGUACGACGAGCUUACAACUUCCUUAUCUAUGAUGGGGUGAACACAAACUACAUCCCUUGCCUCUGGACGAUCAAGAUCCCGCUAAGAGUGAAAAUCUUCAUGUGGCUCGCAGCGAGAAACAAAAUCCUGACCGUCGACACUCUCGCGAAAAGGGGAUGGGUUGGACCAUCGAUUUGUUCCCUUUGCUCAAGGAGCGGAGAGAAUUUACAGCACAUCUUCUUCUCCUGCACAUACUCAGUGACCGUUUGGAAUCAUCUUCUACAACACCAUCUGACCACUCAUCGUGCCUUGCUCGCCCUACCGGGGGAUCUUCCUGCUCGCUGGAAUCGUGCACGAAUCUCAAUCAGGGGACGUCGGCGCAGAAGAGGCUUCGACACCUUGCUCACAUCAACUUGUUGGGAAUUAUGGAAGGAACGAAACAAACGAAUGUUUGACAACCAGCUAUCUAGAGGCGACAAAAUUGAAAGAAAAGUGAUAGACAUCAUGGCUCUGUGGCAAUGGGCUCUGGGAACGUGGUGGCUGUAGGAUAGUGCCUUGCUGUGCUUUCUUUGCUGUGUUUUCUUUACUUGUUAUGUUACCUUUUCUUAUGCUGUGGGUGUGGAGUUUUCCUUCGGUUUGCUUAGGCUACAACCAACGGAAACUAGGUCUAUAAGACUCUUUUGGUUCUCUAAACACAAAUAGGUUAUAUCCCUGUUUACUCAAAAAAAAUGACAAACGGGCCGGUAGUAACGCGGAUAAUAAUCAUAUUCAUUAUACAAUAACUUCCUCUGUACAAAUACACUUUAAUUUGAUAUUUCUAAUUUUGGAAGGACAUUUGUGUAACUAUGAAUGAUUUUAUAGGCAUUUAGUUAGUUUUCUUGUUCUCUCUUGGUUCAAGUUCGUAGAGAUCACAAAAAGCUCGCUUCUCAAUUUGAAUGCAAAAAAGGUAAAUUGAAAUUGAUCAUAUUUUUCUAACAUUUGGUGUUACUAUCUCUCAAUCUUGUUAAAAUUAGUUAAUUUGUUGCAUUGGAGUCAAAUAAGACAAGAAUAGACAUUUUGUGGUCACAUAUCUAUCUACAGGUGACAACACCUGACCCACAUGGAAAUGGUUAAGCUGGGCAUAAUGUUAUAUAGAACUUGUGGCUGAACACAAAUUGCUUUGAUUAAGACAUAAGCUUGAUUAUGUCCUCCAAAUGGAAAGCACACAUCUACUAAUGUAUACUACCUCUCUUAGCAUAACUGUCUUUAAUUAACUGGAAUCUCAUUUAAUUUAGUAACUUCAUUUACUACGAACUUUUCAUAAUAGAAGUGUGUGUAGUAGGAGACAAAUUAGUCACAUUAAGAUGCCAUUCACAUCACUUCAUUGAGAGAAUAAUUUUAUAUGUCCCUAAUGAACCAAAAAUAACACUGCCAUAUACAAAGAGGACCAACAAAAAAAAAAAAAGUCACACUAGUGCAAGAGCUUAUGAAGCUUAAUUUCAGCUUAAUUUAAGCUUGAACUUGAAAACAGUCAAAUCCCAGCUACACAUUUAACAUUUCUCCACACCUUAAAAAACCAAGUUUAUAUCAACAUAUCCAUCAUUAAUUAAUUAAGCUUUUUUUUUUUGUUGGACAACUCCAUUACAAUGAGGUGGUUUAAUUAAUUAUUUCAUGCAAUAUCUGUGGCUGCAGCUGCUUCAUUAUCUUUAUGUGAGCUCUCUUGGUUGAGGAGCGGGUGCCUUGUUAAAUCUUGAUCCACCACUUGGCUUGUAGCCUUUUUCUCCUCACUUUUACCCCACAGUACAAAGUAGAGACCAAUCACUAUGAGGAUAGAACCAAAUAUCCUGAAAAAAAAAGAAGAAAAAGAACAAGAAAAAAAAAAAAAGAAAACCAAUAAUAUUAAAGAUAAGCAUGCUAUUCAAGAGCCCCAAAACUUUUCGAUUAAAUUAUAUAGUGACCCCUCAAAUGACCCAUAGCUUUAUAAUUAAAUACCCUCUAGCUAAAAAUGCUAAAAUAUUAGAAAUAUCCACUAUAAAUAUUACAAACACUAAAAACUGCCCAUGUGGACUGACUUCACAAAACCCCUCCAAUUGUAGGCUAUUUGAAAUUACCCCCUCAACUACAAACUUUUUGAUUGGGGCCCCUUAACUUUUGUCUUUUUUUCUUUUUUGAAUAGAGUUUUUCUACUCAUUGUAGUUUGAAAAUCUUGUAAAAUUUAGUAGCUCUAUUAACUUUCGUCAGUUAACUGAUUUAGUUUUAUCUGCUAAAAAGCAUUUAAAAUAAUUAAAUUUGGCAAAACUAUUGAUGAAUUUGGUGAAGUCUUCAGUUUAUUUGACUGAAAUCACUUAAAUCCUAAAAUAGGUAGAAGUUUAGGGGUCCGAAUAAAAGAAGUAGAGGUUGAGGAGGCGAUUUCAGAUUGGCCUAUAGUUGAGGGCCGGGUGUCUACAUACAUUUUUACCUAAUAUGUAUUUUAUUAAGUUAUAUGUGGUAUUUUUAACUUUUGAGGUGUAUAUAUAUAAUUGAGUUAACAUACAAUAGAUAUAAAGUAAGGUAUCAUUUGGUUUAGUAAUAAGCUGUUUUUUGUUAUUCUUAGUAUAGGUACAACUCCUGGGAUAAACAUAAACUAGAUUAUUUCUAGGAAUAAGAAAAAUAAUAUUUGUAUAGUUAGAUAAGAAUAGCAAGAACAAGAAUAAUUAUAGUUUUAAAAUGAUAGUAUUUUACCUAAUUACUUAACAUCAAAAUAGUAAUUAAAUAAUAAUUUACUAACUUAAUUAAUUAAUUAAGUAACCAUAAUUACUAUUUGAUGACCAUCAAUGUUAGAAUUAAUUAAUAUAUUAAUCAACUGUUAAUUAAUUAACCAUGAGUAUUGUUAAUUAAUAAAUUAAUUAACCAUUAGUAAUUUGACAAGUUAAUAAAUUACUAAUUUAAUUUAAUAAAAGUAAUAAAUUAUUUAGUUAAUUAUUUAAUUAGAUAGAUUGGUCAAAAUAUUAAUUGCUUAAUCAAUAUAAAUAUUAGCUAUUGUAUAAGCGCACUAAAUAAGUAAUUUUAAUUAACUAAUUAAUUAAUUAUUAAUAAUAAGUUAAUUACUCAAAAAGUUAAUUAAAUAUUUAUUAGAGUAAUAAAUCAAAUGGUUAAUUACUUAUCUAGUUAAUAUAUAAUACGUUAAUUAGCAUUAAUUAGUAUAAGUAUCGAGGUUUUCUUUUUUUUUUUAGCUGAAAAUGUGAUACACACACACACACACACACACACACACACACACACACGUAUAAGAACUAGAAUACUAUUGUUGUUAGUGUGAGAAUAAUACUUACUAUCAACUUUUGGAUUAUUGGGUGCCUAGGGUUUAUUGGGGGUUUGUCGAAUAGUAAUAAUCUAAAAAUAAACAGUUGAUAGCAAAUAUUAUUCAUUUACUAUGAAUAGUAUACCAGCUAAGCUCUCUCCCUUUCUCUCUCUCUCUCUCUCUAUAUAUAUAUAUAUAUAGGGUCUGGCUACUAUCCUAUUAAUAGGAUUGAGACCAUUGUCCUAUCAAGUCGAUUUGAAUGAUCGGAACUUCAAAUUGAUAAUCGGCACCAUUGAAGUUGAUCUACACAAUUAGAAAUGUUUAGAAACCAAAUUUUGUAUUAUUUAAAAAUCACUAUCAAGUUCAUCUUAAAAGUUGAAAAAUGAACGGUCAUAAAUGAAUAACCUUCUUAAAAUAGAGGUUAGACUUUCUCAGUUUGUAAUCAGAGUGAUCAAACAUCAUCUAAAUAGUAUAAAGAAUUUUCUACCAAAAAUUCAAGUAAUUUGGUUUGCUCUACACCAUUAAACAAGCAAACGGCUCAUAUAAGCCGUCAAAAAUUGUCGAUUUUACGACACUUUGAUUACCAUGUAAACCAUUAUCAAAAUUUAUGAAAUUUAGUUUCUAGAUAUUUCAAAUACUCUAGAUCAACUUCAACGACUCCGAUCAUUGAUUCGGAAUCUCAAUCAUCAAGAACAACUUGAUAGGACAAGUGCUCCUAUCCUAUUAAUAGGAUAGUAGCAUUAGCAUAUAUAUAUAUAUAUAGUUGACCUAGAAUACUAUCUAGCAAAUGGUUCCGUUGCCACCAAUUUAUUUUCGAUGGUGGAGCCUACAAAUUAACGAUCGGCACCACUAAACAUGAUCUAUACCACUUGAAGUGUUUAGAAAUCAAAUUUUAUACAUUUUUUAUAUUGUUCUCUUAUCCAUUGAGUGGACAAAAAAAUGAACGGCUGAAAAUGAAUAUUCUUUAAAAAAUGGUGAUAGGAGUCUUGUAAUCAAGAUCAAGAGUAUAGAUCUUGUUUUAAAUAGUUUAAAGAAUUUUCUAAAAAAAAUUCAAUUGAUUUGAAUAUAUUUAUGCCGUUAAACGAGAAAACGCCUCAUAUCGGCCAUUAAAAUUACGAAUUUUGAAACCCUUUGAUCAUUUGGCAAAUAUGUUGAAAAGAUUUGAAAUUUGAUUUUUAAAUACUUCAAAUUAUAUAGAUCAUGUUCAACGGUACUGAUCGUCGAUUUGGAGGCUCUAUCAUCGAAAGCAAAUGGGUGGCAACGGAGCCCGUUUGCUAUCGAUAAUAUUCCAGCUCAACUAUAUAUAUUUAUAUAUAGUAGGGCUACUAUACUCUUAUGAGUAUUGGACCCUUCGUACUCAUAAGUUGUUUUCGAUGAUGGGGCUUCCGAAUCGACGAUCCACUCCGUUAAAUAUGAUCUACAGUAUUUGAAACUUCUAAAAAAUAAAUUUCGUAAUUUUUCGAAAUCAUUACAGAGUCCAUCAAGCGGGUAUAAAAUGAAUGGUUAAAAUCGAAUGACAUCCUAAAAAUGAAUGAUCGGAUCCUUCAAUUUAAGAUCGGAGUUAUUAAUCUUUAUUUAAGUAGUGAACAGAAUUUUCUAUCAAAAAUUCAACAUAUUUUGAUUCUUUUUCACCGUUAAACUAGCAAAUAUCUUAUACCGGCGGUUAAAAAUUGUCAAUUUUGUGAGCUUUUGAUCGUAAGGAAAAUGAUGUCGAAAAAUUAUGAAAUUUAAUUUCUGGAAGUUUUAAAUGCUCUAGAUAAUGUUUAACGUUGUGGAUCAUCAAUUCGGAAGCUCUAUCAUCGAAAACAACUUAUGAGUAUGAGGGCCAUCGUACUCAUAAAAGUAUAGUAGCCGGACUCUCUCUCUCUCUCUCUCUCUCUCUAUAUAUAUAUAUAUAUAUAUUUAUAUAUAUAUAUAUAGUUGAGCUAGAAUACUAUCUAGCAAACGGUACCGUUGCCACCAAUUUGUUUUCGAUGGUGGAGCCUCCAAAUCGAUGAUCGGCACCGCUAAACAUGAUCUAUACCACUUGAAGUGUUUAGAAAUCAAAUUUCAUACAUUUUUUAUAUUGUUCUCUUAUUCAUCAAGUGGACACAAAAAUGAAUGGCUGAAAAUGAAUAUUCUUUUAAAAAUGAUGAUAGGAGUCUUGUAAUCAAGAUCAAGAGUAUAGAUCUUGUUUUAAAUAGUUUAAAGAAUUUUCUAACAAAAAUUCAAUUGAUUUGAAUAUCUUUACGCCGUUAAACGCGAAAACGACUCAUAUCGGCCAUUAAAACUACAAAUUUUGAAAUCCUUUGAUCAUUAGGCAAAUGAUGUUGAAAAGAUUUGAAAUUUGAUUUUUAAACACUUUAAGUGGUAUAGAUCAUAUUCAACGGUACCGAUCGUCGAUUUGGAGGCUCUAUCAUCGAAAACAAAUGGGUGGCAACGGAGCCCGUUUGCUAUCGAUAGUAUUCCAGCUCAACUCUAUAGAGUUGAGCUAGAAUAUAUAUAUAUAGAGUUGAGCUAGAAUACUCCCAGAAUAUCCCAAAGCACCAUGAAGGUGUGCUUUUGAGUUUUAGCUAUUGGAUGAGAGAUGUAGGUUGAGAUGAUAGUGGUAGGUGGUGAUAUUAAUACUAUAUAUAUAAUAUAUAGAGCUAGAAUACUCCCAAACUAUCAUGAAGGUGGUGCUUUUGAGUUUGCCAUUGAUGGAGAGAUGUAGUGUUUGAGAUGAUAUGAUGGUAGUGGUCUAGUGUUGUGGUAAGGUUCGAUAGUGUUAUGAUCCCNNNNNNNNNNNNNNNNNNNNNNNNNGGCCGGGUCUAGCACAAACAUUUUUGACCUAAUAUCGUUUUAUUAAGUUAUAUGUGAUAUUUUUAAACUUUUGAGUGCUAUAUAUAAUAAUGAGGUUAAAUACAAUAGAUAUAUAGUAAAGGUAUCAUUGUUUAAGUAAAUAAGCUGUUUUUGGUUAUUCCCUUAUAUAGGUUACAACCCUGGAUAACAUAAAUUUGAUUAUUUCUAGAAUAAAAAAUAUAUUUGUAUAGUUAGAUAAGAAUAGCAGAACAAGAAUAAUAUAUGUUGUUAACAAAUGGUAGGUAUUUUACCACAUAAGUGACUUAACAAUCAAAAUAGUUAAAUAAUAAAUUUACUAACUUAAUUAAUUAAUUAAUAACCAUAAAUAUGAUUGAUAACAUCAUGUUUAGAAUUUAUAAUAUAUGUUAAUCAACUGUUAAAUUAAUUAACCAUGAGUAUUGUUAAUUACAAUUAAUUAAUUCACCAAUUAGUAAUUUGACAAGUUUAAUAAAUUACUAAUUUAAUUUAAUAAUAAAGUAAUAAAUUAUCUUAGUUAAUUAUUUAAUUAGAUAGAUUGGUCAAAAUGAUAAUCUUAAUCAAUAUAAUAUACUUAGCCUAUUGUAACGCACUAAAUAAUAAUGUUAAUUAAACUAAUAAUUAAUUAUUAAUAAUAAGUUACGAUUACUCAAUACGUUAAUUAAUAAUUUAUGAGAGUAAUAAAUCAGUGGUUAAUUACUUACUGUUAAUAUAUAAUACGUUUAAUUAGCAUUAAUUAGUAUUAAGUAUCGAGUUUUCCUUCUUUUUUUUUUAGCUUGAAAAAAUGGUGAUAUCACAACACACACACACACACACACACACACACACAACUAAACGUGUAAGAACUGAAUACUUAUUGUUGUUAGUGUGAGAGAUAAUAUUAACUAAUCAACUUAUUGGAUUUAUUGGUCGUAGGAUUGCAAUUGGGUUUGUUGAAUAGUAUAAUCUAAAAAUAAAAGUGAUAGCAAGAUAGUAUUCAUUACUAUGAAUAGUAUACAGCUAAGCUCUCAUCUCCUUCCUAAUCUCAUCGUCUCUCCACCCGUUCCUAUAGGCGAAUUUCAUUUAGAACUCACUCUCUCUCUCGUCUCUAUAUGUAGGGUCUGGCUACUAUCCUAUUAUAUAUGAUUGAGAAUUGUCCUAACUCAAGUCGAUUUGAAUGAUCUGGAACUUCAAAUUGAUAAAUCGCACCGUUGAAGUUGAUCUACACAAUUUAGAAUGUUUUAAAACCAAAUUUUGUAUUAUUUAAAAAUCACUAUCAGUUUCAUCUUAAGAGUUGAAAAAUGAACGGUCAUAAAAUGAAUAAAUCACUUCUUUAAAAUAGAGGUUGACUUUUCUCAAGUUUAUAAAACAGAAUUAUCAAAGAAUUAUUCUAAAUAGUAUACAAGACUUUCUAUCAAAAUUCAAGUAAUUUGGAUUUCUCUACAAACCGAAAGCAAACGGCUCAUAUAGGCGUCAAAAUUUAUCGAUUUUCGACACUUUGGAUACCACCUUAAACCAUUACAAAAAUCUUAUAAAUUUUAUUUCUAGAAUAGUUUCAAAAGUACUCUAGAUCACUUCAACGGCUCACAGAUCAUUGAUUAUCGGAAUCUCGAUCACAGAAAACUUGCAAGGACAAGUGCUCAUAUCCUAUUAAUAGGAUAGUUACAUUAGCAUAUAUAUAUAUAGUAUAUAUAGUAUAUAAUAUUAUAUAUAUAUAUAUAUAUAUAUAUAUAAUCAUAUAUAUAUAUAUAUAUAUAUAUAUUUAUUAUAUAAUAUAUAUAUAUAUUAUAUAUAUAUGCUAACCUAGAAAUAUACUAUCUAGCAAAAUGUCCAGUUGCCACUAUUUGGUUUUUCGAUGGUGAUGCUGAACAAAUUGCACGAUCGGUAAACCAACAAACAAUGUUUCUAUAUACACUGAAGUGUUAUUAGAAAUCAAAUUUCAUAACAUUUUUUAUAUUUGUUUCUCCGUAUCCAGUUGAGUUGGACACAAAAUGAACGCUGAAAAUGGAUAUCCUUUAAAAAAUGGUGAUAGGAAGUCUUCGUAUACAAAAUCAAAAAGUGUAAUCUUUUUAAAUAGUUUAAGAAUUUUCUAAAAAAAAUUCAAUGAUGUGAAUAUAAUUAUGCCGUUAACGAGAAAACACCUCAAUAUCGCCAUUAAAUUUACGCAAUUUUGAAAUCACUUUGAUGCAUAUUGCAAAGAUGUUUAAAAGAUUGAAAUUUGAUUAUUAAGACACUUCAAAAUUGUAUGAGACUGAUUUCAACGGUAUCGAGUCGUUGAUUUGGAGGCUCUAUCAUCGAAAACAAAAUAGGUGCAACGGAAGACCCAGUUUGCUAUCGAAGUAUUCACAGCCAACUAUAAUAUAUUUAUAUAUAUAGGGCUAACUAUAACUCUUAUGAGUAUUGCGAACACCCUCGUAACUCAUUUUAUAUUCGAUGAGGGCGUUUUCGAUAUUUUCGAACAGAUCCACUCCGUUAAAUAUGAAUCUACAGUCAUUUGACAACUUCCUAAAAAAAUAAAUUUCAAUAAUUUUCGAAAAUCAUUAUAGAGUCCAUCAAGCGGUUAUAAAAUGAAUGUUAAAAUCCGAAUGAACAUCUAAAAAUAAUGAUCGGAUCCUUCAAUUUAAGAUCGAGUUAUUAAAUCUUUUAUUUAGGUAGUGAAAAGACUUUUCGAUCAAAAUUCAACAAUAUUUAUAUGAUAUUUUUUCAAUCAACCGUUAAAUUAGCGAAAUAUCUCAUACCGGCCGUUAAAAAUUGUCACAUUUUGUGAGCUUUUGAUCGAGGAUGAAGUCGAAAAAUUAUGAACAGUUAACUUUCAGAAGUUUUAAAUGCUUAGAUAAUGUUUAAGCGUUUAUCACCAAUUCGAAAGCCACUAUCAUCAAAAACCAACUUAAUGAUACGAGGUGAUCGGUACUCAUAAGAGUGAUAUAGCCGGAUCCUCUCUCUCGUCCGCUCUCGGACAGUCCUCUUCAUCUCUCUUUUACGCUCUUUCAGACUCCGUCCACCGCCUCUCUCUCCUCCGUCGCUCCUCCCCAGAUUACCACCCCACGCCCUCCGCCCUGCCUCACUCCACCCGCCCUUCUCUUCGCUCUCAUCUCGCUCGCCCUCAUCACAACUCGAAAUCCCUUACCUCUCCUCUACUCUUCGUCGUCUCAUCUCCUCGGCUGCCCUCCUAGCGCCUCUCGUCCUCACGACCUCGCUCACUCCCCCUCUCAUUUCUCCGCCGUCUCUCUUUCCAUAGCUCGAUCCUCGUAUUCCCCCCCACUCUCUCUUCCCCCAUCCCCCCAUCUCUCUUCUCUCUCACUAUAUAUAUCAUAUAUAUAUAUUAUGUUGAAGCUAGAAUACUAUCUAGCAAACGUUCCGUUGCCACCAAUUUGUUUUUCGAUGGUUGGAGCCUCCAAAUCGAUGAUCGGCACCGCUAAACAUGAUCUAUACCACUUGAAGUGUUUAAGAAUCAAAUUUCACUACAUUUUUUAUAUUGUUCUCUUAUUCAUUGAGUGGACACAAAAAAUGAAUGGCUGAAAUGAAUAUUCUUUUAAAAAUGAUGAUGGGGAUAUUGUAAUCAAGAUCAAAGAGUAUAGAUUUGUUUUAAAUAGUUUAAAGAAUUUUCUAGCAAAAAUUCAAUUGAUUUGAAAUAUCUUUUAUGCCGUUAAACGCGAAAACGACUCAUAUCGGCCAUUAAAAACUACAAUUUUUGAAAUCCUUUUAUCAUUAGGCAAAUGAUGUUGAAAAGAUUUGAAAUUUGAUUUUAAACACUUCAAGUGGUAUAGAUCAUAUUCAACGGUACCGAUGUCGAUUUGGAGGCUCUAUCAUCGAAAACAGAUGGGUGGCAACGGAGCCCGUUUGCUAUCGAUAGUAUUCCAGCUCAACUCCUAUAGAGUUGAAGCUAGGAAUAUUAUAUAUAUAGAGUUGAGCUAGAAUACUCCCAAAAGCACCAUGAAGGUGGUGCUUUUGAGUUUUUAGCUAUUGGAUGGAGAGAUACAGGGUUGAGAUGAUAGUGGUAGGUGGUGGUAUAUAUAUAUAUAGAGCUAGAAUACUCCCAAAAGUACCAUGAAGUGGUGCGUUUUGAGUUUUAGCCAUUGGAUGGAGAGAUGUAUGGUUGAGAUGAUGAUGGUAGGUGGCGCUAGUUGUGGUGAUAGGUCGAAUAGUUGUUUGAUCCAAGGGAUAUUAGUAACUGGGUAGGAGACCAAGGGCUGAGAAUUUAGAACACCAAGGGAUUGGGUGCUUCAAAAAGUAUUAGCUCAAUUAUACUAUAUAUAUAGCUAUGGCUGGUAUGCUAUCGGUAGCACGGAGGCCUCCAUGCUACCAAGUUGUUUCAAUGAUGCAGCUUCCAAAUCGACGAUCGGUCCAUUAGACUUGAUCUACACUGUUGAAAGUAUUUAGAAACUAAAUUUCAUAAUUUUUCGGCAUCAUUUACCUAUUGAAAGCCGAGUCUAAAAAUGAAUGGUGAAAAAUAAACUCUCAUAAAAAUGAGGAAAAAAGCUUAAAUUUAAAUCAGAGGUACUGAUCUUACUGCUAAAUAGUUAAAAGAAUUUUCUAUAAAAACUUCAUCAGAUUUUGGAUUUGUUUUCACCGUGUAAAUUCACAAACGCAUCAAAUCUACCAUUAAAAUUGUCAUUUUGAGACAUUUUGAUCAUUAGCAAAUGAUAUUGAAAAUUAAUGAAAUUUAGUUUCCAAAUACUUUUAUAGUGUAGAUCAAGUCUAACGAGCCGAUCGACGAUUUCGAACGCCGCAUCAUUGAAACAACUUGGUAGCACGGUACCGAUAGUAUACCACCCUAGCUCUAUAGAGCUAAUUAUAUUAUAUAUAUAUAUAUAUUAGAGAGAGAGAGAGAGAGAGAGAGAGAGAGAAGAGAUGAAGAGGAGAGAGAGAGAGAGAGAGAGAGCUAGUCUCUCUAUACUAUCUUAUAGUACGAGGCUCAAGUACUAGUCUCGUUUUGAUUUUAGGGUGUUCAAAUCAACAAUCCACACACCGUUAAAGCUGAUAUAGGAUAUUUAAAGUUUUUAGAAAUAAAAUUUUAUAUUUUUCGACAUAGUUUACUUUAUGAUCAAACCAUUCAAAAUUGUCAAUUUUUAAUGGCUACUACGGCGAGUUUGGAGUUUAACUGGGAAGAAAAUUCUAAAUUUCUUCAAUUUUGAUUAGAAAAUACUUUAAACUUCUAGAUCAAGUCAACACAUUCUGAUCUUGAAAUGUUUAAAGUCUUAUGCAUCAAAUUUUAAAAGAUUGUCAAAUGUUACACUGUCCAUUUUGACAUAAUUUAUUUACUAAAUAAGACGAUAUGUUGAAAAAAGCUAAAAAUUUUUUCUAAGAAUUUCAUAUACUUUAAAAUCAUAUUAACGGUAUGGAAUGCGUUAUUUGAAACACCUUAUACAUCGAAAACAAAGAACUAUAGUCCCGAGCUCGUACACUAUUAGAUAGUAUGUAGCCACUCAUCUUUCUCUCAGCUCAUCUCUCACUGCCACUGGCUUCUUGCCCCACAUCUACGGCUCACCAUGCAGCGUUCAUCUCUCGAGUCCUCUCCUCGUAUAUUAUAUAAAUAUAGAAUUAGGCUGGAAUCUAUUAAUAGUAAAAGCUCUUUGCUAUAGUUUUUAACACUUUGAGUUGAAAAUUAUUAGGAAAUAGGAUGUAUAUUAAUCGUUAGAGUGAGUUGUCCCCGUAAGAAUUGACGUAGGUCCCACUGGGUUAUAGCUAUUUAAUCCAAUGGUUUAGAAUAUAAUGAAAAGAGUUGAUCAAAGCCUAAAAACUGAUUAAGCAACUUGGGAAUUUUGCUCUAAGUAGCCCAGUCCAACUAUAUAUAUGAUAUAAUGACGUUCGGCGUACGUAUACUUUGUAUGAGUUAUUGGCUCUCUAUACUCAUAAGUUUUCGCGCCUAUGAGAUUUAUUCAAUGAUCAUUUCGCCCGUUAGAUUAUACAUCAAACACAACUAUCCACUCAACCCGUAGAGACCACUAUCAUUUAGAGUGGGGACCUACCAUCAUCUCUAUACAAUCCCAAUCAUAACGGUUAAAAAUUUAUGAAGUACAAGGGGUUCUAAUACUCAUUAAGAGUAUAAGUAGCCCAGCCAUACAUACAUAAUAUAUAUAUAUAUAUAUAAUAUAUAGGAGAGAGAGAGAGUAGAGGAAGCUAGGCUACUAUACUAUCUAUAGUACUCCUAAUCAACACUUCCUCAAUCAACGGUUUAAAAACUUUAUGAAGUAUAAGGGUUCUAAUACUCAUUAAGAGUAGUAAGCCCCAGCCAUAUAUAUAUAUAGUAUAUUAUUAUAUAUUAGUCGCGUACUACACUAUCGAUAGUACCAAGCUUGGUACUAUCUGAGUUUUCUACCGUUUAGAUUCUACGUAGCCUUUGAUCAUUUCACGUUAGAUUAUACUAUUAACAACACCACCAUCAACCCCUAGGGACCACUAUCAAUUUAACUGGGGACACUAUCAUUCUAACCGCACAUCUUUUCAUUCCAACGGCCGAAAAUUCAAUAGUACAAAGGCUUGGAUAUAUUGAUAGUAUAGUAGCAUAUUCUAUAUAUAUAAUAUAAUAAUAUAUAUAGAGCAGGGCUGUUGUGCUCUCAGAAGCACGGAGGCCUCCGUACUCCUGAGCCGUUUUCGAUGAUGGAGUUUCGAAUCGACGAUCGCUGUCCGUUAAACUGAUCUAACGUAUUUAAAGUUUCUAGAAAAUAAUUUUUGCGAUUUUUCGAUAUCAUUUACCUUAGCAAUCGAAAGAUUCAAAAUCCAUAAUUUUUAACGGCUGAAAAUAAAAAUUCUAUAAAAAGUUGGUGAAUGGCACUAAAAUUUUCGAUCAGAAAUAUAGAUCUUUGUUGUAAUAGUAUAAAGAAUUUUCCAUCAAAUCAUACUGAUUUGAAUACUUCUAACACACCGUUAAACUUGAAAACGGCAGAUAUCAGCCAUUAAAAAUUAUGGAUUUUGAAUCCUUUCGAUCACUAGGUAAAUGAUAUCGAAAAAUCGCAAAAAUUAUUUUCUAGAAACUUCAAAUGUGCUAGAUCAAGUCUAACGGAGCCGAUCGUCGAUUCGAAAAUUCCAUCAUCGAAAACGGCUCAGGAGCACGGAGGCCUCUGUGCUCCUGAGAGCACAGCAGCCCUGCUCUAUAUAUAUAUAUAUAUAUAUAUAUAUUCAAAUCAUUUUUGGUUAAUGUUUCUUUUCAUUCUUGGGAAAAUUUCCUUACCCUCCGGUGUAAAGUUGGUCACCAAGUAUCAUGGCUGCCAUGAUGGCCACUAGAACAGUCUGAACUGGUUGGAACACAGCAGUAAAGAGUGGACCCCCCCUAUCAAUGCACCAUAUUUGAAGGGAUAAGGAAAGUCCACAAGCCACAAGACCCUACAAAGAGUAAAAUACAUUCAAUGAUCGAGUUGAAUUUCUAUACAUAUUCCUGAUUAAAUACUACAGAUUUAGCUUUAAAGUAUGUUUUCAAUUUGAAUUUUGUCCUUACAUGGUUUCAUACUGUUAGACAUAAAAAUUAGUUUCUUUUUCUAAUCAGUUAAAAAAAGUGUCCUAUUAACAAUAGUAGUCAGGUACGUACAACCUCGAAAGCUAUUAUGUCAACAGAAUCAAAUUAUGAUGCUUAUAUUGUAUAAUCCUUUUUACACGGUGAACAAAUGAAAAUUCUAAGGAUGAAACUAGAACAAGUGACAAAAUUAAGAAGAAUUAUUUGACUAACCCUACUUUAACUUUUAUAUAUAUAUAUAAAAAGAGAAAUGUUAAGUCUACAACCCACUAAGCGUUGUAGGGAUUACAACCCUAAUCCAAGGGUCGUAAUCCCUCCAUUAUGGUUUUAAAAAGUCAAAUUAAGUUUUAGGACUGGGAAAAAAAUAAUGCGACAAGUGAAAGAAAUCUGGCUCUUGGGUUGUAGAUCUAGCAUUAUUGCUCAUAAAUAAAGGAAUGUGGAGAUGAAAAAAUAGUGUAUUACAGCAUAGAGAAUGGUGAAUAGUUCCCCUCCUGAAUGAACCUUUCACCUCUCAAUGUCAUUCUCUAAAAAAGCUGCUAUUAUUAGGAAUUGAGCGAGCCCAAAGGUGCAGGUUAGUGUGAGCACUGAGAGCCUAGCUGGGUACUUCUUCAGAACAGGGACCUGUACGUAACAAUUACAUCAUGUAAGCAUCACAGGUUACAAAGAGAUAUUCAAAUACAUACUCCCAUAAUUAAUUGAUCCAUUCUAUGUAUAUGUAUAUAUAUUAAGUUACUGUACUAUUAAUAGCACCGAGUCUUUGGUGCUUAUAUGUUUUUGACUUUUGGAUGAAGAUUUGCAUGGUUAGUAUAACAGUGAUUUACUAGGCUUGAGUGGUGGUUGGUGGAAUAGCAUAAUAUAAGUAAUGAAAUUAAUCAAAAAAAUAGAUCUAAUGGUGAAAAGCUUACAAAUACCAAAUAUUUUGUGCUUUUAAAAGCACCAUAUAUGUAUAUAUUAUGUGUUUUAUGUACUAAAAGCCUAAAAAAAUUUUAAAUCUUAGGAUUAAAUAAAUUAAGUGUAAAAUUUACUUUUUUUUUUUUGACGUACAUAACAUUUUUAUAUAUAAAAAGAGUAAUGCUACUGGAACACUCGAGGGAAUGAAAUAUUACACCCCGGCCCUAUCUAAGGGUACAUAUUCAGUCCCUGAUGCACCCAAAAAAAUAAAAAUCUUAUAGCCCGGCCCUUAUCUAAGGCUAUGUUUGGUUGCGGGAUAAGGGUGGAAUAAAAGGUUUAUUCCGCCCUUAUCCCUCAAACACAAACAAAAAAUGGUGGGAACACUAAUUCCCUUUUUAACGGACUAUUCUAGAAUAGUCCGUUAAUGGGUGGGAACAGGGUGGGAACUAGUGUUCCCACCCCAAAGUGAAACAAGCUGGGAUAACCUAGCUUGUUCCACCCGUGAAGAGAGAGAGAGAGAGAAUUUUUAAUUUAUUAUAAAAUUUAAAUUUCAUAAGUUUAAAAAUUAAAAUUUAUAAUUUAAAAGUUUAUAUUUUAAAUUUUAAAGUAUAAAUAUAAAAUAUAAAAAUUUAAAUUCUAAUAUAAAGAAAAGAAUAAUAUUAUUAUUUUUUAUUUAUAACUACCCACUUUAAUUCUUAUUCCAUCUUACCUAACCAAACGUUAUUUUUUUUAUUUUCAGGAAUAAUCCAAUUUUCAUCCAAACGUAAAAUUGAUCUAAUCCCCGCUUACACCUCAAUUUAUACCUAUUCCCGGAAUACCCACUUUUUGCUUAUCCUCGAACCAAACGAUACCUAAGGGUACAUAUUCAGUCCUUGUCUUGUCAAUUUUUUCAAAAAAAAUGAAAAUUUUAAAUAUUUUGUGAAUCCUAAAACGAGAGAUGUUAGAUUUAUACUCUAUUUUUGAAUGUACCAUCAGCAUUUAUCAUAAGCACCUGGUGUAAGUAGCAAUAUGAGAGAGAGAGAGAGAGAGAGAGAGAGAGAGAGAGAGAGAGAGAGAGAGAGAGACCUGAAGAACCAUCCAACCUGACCAAGCAACGCAGUUGCCAAGAAUGUAGACACAGCCCAAUGUCCAGUUGAGGAUUGGGUUUGAAGAGGCAACAAAAAGGGCUCCUAAUUUACUGUGUGGUUCUGUGUGCAGCAGCACUGGGAGCCCUUUGUAGAGAGUGAUCACAGUGGCCCCUCCUAUGCUAACCACUGUUCCUACCACCUUUGCCAAUCCAUGUCUCCUUUUAAUGUUAACUUGCUCGAGCCUGAUAAAAAAAGCAAGGAGAGAGGGUAAGAUUAAUUACAUAGAGAUGCAGAUUAGAAAUCAAUAGUACAGGACUGUUGAUUAUGUGAAUCUAGUAUCAGUCCCACCUCUUAUAUAUUUUAAUCCUCCAUCACUAAUCACCGAGUUACAACCUUUUUAAAAAUAAAUAAUAUUUUUAUUAAAUGGUUGAAGAUUAAAAAUAGAGAUGGAAUAUAGAACAGAUCAUUAAUGGUUCACGACUAGCUAGCUAGCGUGGUGGACUAGGUAUAGUAAAUAAUUACCAAAGAGAAGAGUGAGAAAGAAAUCUUAAAUAAUGCAAGAUAUAUAUUUGUAUAUUUUCGGUUAAAUGUAAGUUUUUUGUUCUCCCCAUGAGUAGUCACCCUACAUAUGGCACUACCUUAGAGCAGCAGCCAUGGCAAAGGUGAUGGCUGGAACUGUAUUCUGUAUAGCAGAAGCAUAAGUUGGAGACAAAUAAUACAAGCCCAAGAGAUAAAACCCCUGGUUAGCAGUGAUCCUGGAAAUAAAAUAAAUAAAAAGAAGAGCUAGUUAUCAAUCUAAAAGAAUAUACAAGAUCAAAAUUAAGUCGAACACGCAAAGUCCUGCUUUGUACUUACCCACAUAAUGCUAGAAGAAAGAACUGAACCAGCAAAGAGAAGGUUAGAGGUGGUCUAUCUUUCCUGAUAUAUAUAUAUAUAUAUAUAUAUAUAGAAAUGUUGAUAAAGGAUGAAAUGUUGUUAGAGUACAUAAAAGUAUGAAUAAUAUAUAUAUUUUUUAAAGAAAAGAAAAUCUUACUUUUCAAGAAAAUAGGCAAAAGGGGCCAACAAAACCAAGGCAAUCAUGUUCCUAUACACAGGGAAGACAAUCUUGCUGAUGCCCAUGUUGAGAGCAGCUCUUGAAACUACAUGAAACCCAGCAAGACACAGCUGCAGAGAGAGCACAGCUAUGAUGAGCUUAACCUUCUCAGACACAGUUGAGUCCCUCCCCAUUAUCUCUAAUCUCCUCAAGCUGAAUUUGCAAAGAGAUUGGUGUUGGUUGAGGGGAUAGUAUGGGGGGGGGGUGGGUAUAUAUAGUGUGCUUUGGGUGCUUACACAUGAUGAGGUGGUAAAGUCCCCACAUUGGAGGUUUAUUUACUGUGGUGUUUGUUCUGAAUUGGUUUUGAAAAGUGUAGUAGCUACCAUGCAGUAACUUGCCUACCUGACAUAAUCAUUUCUCUUAAUUAAUACACUAGACCAACAUUCCCGGGCCCAGAUAUGAUCUUUACCGCCUCAUUAUUUUGUUACUCAAAAGAUCGAUCUUUUUUUUAAAGUAAAAAGAUUGAUUUAUUAGAAAAUUAUUCAGAAAUAACCUGAAAUAGAUGCAUGACAAGUUGACAAUUAAUUAGUUAAGACUAAAAAUAAUGAUUUAAUAUUAUUGAACACGACGUGAAGAUUUACUCCAUUAAAUAUUUAUGGAGGGUGUCAAACCCAUGGCAUUAGAGAAUGGAAAAGGUUUUUAGUUGGAGGUGAUGUAUGCCAUGCUAUAUGUUGAAAUUAAAGAUUGAUCUAACAGGAGUAGCUGGAAAAUUAUUUUGUAGUACUGUAUUCAAAUGUGGGGCAAAAUUAAUGCAAUUAUUAUUAUAGAUAUUAAACCCUAGUUAGUAUAAAAAAAAUGUGUCAAAUCAAAUAUUAAACCACAAUUUUGUGAAGUAUAUAUGAUUAUAAUAUAUGGUGAGUAACUUGUAAAUGGGUGUGAAUUUAUCUUUCUCUCUCUUGGGUGGAACAUAAGCUUUUGAUGCAUGUACUUGUUGGCACCGAGUUUUUGGGAAUGGUUGGGGGGACAAGGAGGAGUUAGGGCAUGUUGGCCAGGCUGCUUAAUCUUGCAAUCAAUGUGGGGGAUAGACAAUGCAAUUUCUCUAUCUACUUAGCCAUCCUGUUCCCACCAACUUUUCUUUCUAUUCAUAUUCAUAUACUUUGGCAGCCCAUUUCUUUCAACUUAUGGUCUUUCUCCAUUUAUCUUGAAUAUGUUCAAUGACCUUUAAGGGUUUUGUUUAGUUUUUUUUUUUUUGUGUGUGUGUGUGUUUUUGUUUUUGGUGUGACUGUAAGAUCAAAACUCCAACAUUCCCUCUUCAAAAUUUAUAGUUCACUAGGUUCUUCUCAAUAGGGAUGAAAGUGGUUAGGAUAAACUUAUGAUCCUUGUCCAUUUAUCGAAUCUGGCACCGAAUUCGAUAGGAUGCGAAUAUGGAUGUAAAAAAAAUUUAUAUUCAUCGCAUUCGAAUAUAUAUAUAUAUGGAUGCAAAUAUGGUUUUUUUGAAUAGUCUAAUAGUAUGCGAUAGUUUUCACCCCUAAGAAAUAAGAGGGAUGUAAAUAUAUAUUGUAGGAGAGAUAUAGUGAUUUUCUACGUUUUUUUUUUUUAUCUUACUAUAAAUUUCAUGUUCAAAUUGCAUUUAUAUUUGUUAAAAUAUUAAAUUUUAUUGAAUAAAAUAACAAAGUUUGAACAUGAGUGAUUUAACCUUUAGGGUGCGUUUGGUUCGCACUAUAAAAAAUUACUAGCAAUAAAAAGAUGUUUGAAAAUCUUAUUUCUAUUCAUCCUAUUACUAAGAAUGUGGCAAUAUUCCUGUGUUUAGUUCGCAUGGUUAUAUUAUCUAGUCAUGUUGUUUAAGUUUACAAAAAAUAUACAAUUAAUUAAUUUAUUUCUUUAAUUAAUUCACUACAACAGAAUUAGGUUAUAGGGACACAUGUUUGGGACACUUUUGAGUAAGUAUCUCAUUUAUGCUAAAACUUACAAAAACAUCUACUAAUGGCUAAAUAUAAAGCCCAAUCCAACCAAAAAUAAAAGAUUACUCUACUCAACCCACCACACCCUGUCCAUUUGGCCCAAUUACAAACAGAAAAGAAAAAAAAAAAAUCAAUUACCAUCUUUUCUUCUCUCUUCACUCAAUCUACUGAAAUUCUAGACGAAGAGCCUUUCCUGUCGUCCUCCUCCGCCACCGCAGCC